GACGAACGCUGGCGGCGUGCUUAACACAUGCCAGUCGAACGGAAAGGCCCUGCUUUUGUGGGGUGCUCGAGUGGCGAACGGGUGAGUAACACGUGAGUAACCUGCCCUUGACUUUGGAAUAACUUCAGGAAACUGGGGCUAAUACCGGAUAGGAGCUCCUGCUGCAUGGUGGGGGUUGGAAAGUUUCGGCGGUUGGGGAUGGACUCGCGGCUUAUCAGUUUGUUGGUGGGGUAGUGGCUUACCAAGGCUUUGACGGGUAGCCGGCCUGAGAGGGUGACCGGCCACAUUGGGACUGAGAUACGGCCCAGACUCCUACGGGAGGCAGCAGUGGGGAAUAUUGCACAAUGGGCGGAAGCCUGAUGCAGCAGCGCCGCGUGCGGGAUGACGGCCUUCGGGUUGUAAACCGCUUUCGCCUGUGACGAAGCGUGAGUGACGGUAAUGGGUAAAGAAGCACCGGCUAACUACGUG
rnacentral:rRNA from 1 species